rnacentral:rRNA from 1 species
UUAGUGGCGGACGGGUGAGUAACGCGUGGAUAACCUGCCGUAUACCGGGGGAUAACACUUAGAAAUAGGUGCUAAUACCGCAUAGGCGCACGGCUCCGCAUGGGGCAGUGUGAAAAACUCCGGUGGUAUACGAUGGAUCCGCGUCUGAUUAGCUAGUUGGCGGGGUAACGGCCACCAAGGCAGCGAUCAGUAGCCGGCCUGAGAGGGUGGACGGCCACAUUGGGACUGAGACACGGCCCAAACUCCUACGGGAGGCAGCAG